rnacentral:rRNA from 1 species
CCUACGGGGGGCUGCAGUGGGGAAUAUUGGACAAUGGGGGGAACCCUGAUCCAGCCAUGCCGCGUGUGUGAAGAAGGCCCUCGGGUUGUAAAGCACUUUCAGUGAGGAAGAACGCCUGGUGGUUAAUACCCAUCAGGAAAGACAUCACUCACAGAAGAAGCACCGGCUAACUCCGUGCCAGCAGCCGCGGUAAUACGGAGGGUGCGAGCGUUAAUCGGAAUUACUGGGCGUAAAGCGCGCGUAGGUGGCUUGAUAAGCCGGUUGUGAAAGCCCCGGGCUCAACCUGGGAACGGCAUCCGGAACUGUCAAGCUAGAGUGCAGGAGAGGAAGGUAGAAUUCCCGGUGUAGCGGUGAAAUGCGUAGAGAUCGGGAGGAAUACCAGUGGCGAAGGAGGCCUUCUGGACUGACACUGACACUGAGGUGCGAAAGCGUGGGUAGCAAACAGGAUUAGAUACCCCUGUAGUC